UUCCGGUUGAUCCUGCCGGAGGCUACCGCUAUUGGAGUUCGAUUAAGCCAUGCGAGUCGAGAGUCUUAGGGACUCGGCGUACCGCUCAGUAACACGUGGGUAACCUGCCCUAUGCUGGGGGAUAACCUCGGGAAACUGAGAAUAAUACCCCAUAGUUCACCACGCCUGGAACGGUGGGUGGAUGAAAGCUCCGGCGGCAUAGGAUGGGCCUGCGGCGUAUCAGGUUGUAGGGGGUGUAAUGUACCCUCUAGCCAUCUACGCGUACGGGUGUUGGGAGACAUCGCCCGGAGAUGGAUUCUGAGACACGAAUCCAGACCCUACGGGGUGCAGCAGGCGCGAAAACUUGGCAAUGCGAGCAAUCGUGACCAGGGAACUCCAAGUGGCUGGGGUAAUACCCAGUUUUUUCUUGACUCUUCAAAGGUCUUGGAAUAAGGGGUGGGUAAGGACGGUGCCAGCCGCCGCGGUAAUACCGGCGCCUCAAGUGGUAGUCGCUUUUAUUGGGCCUAAAACGUCCGUAGCCGGUCUGGUACAUUCGUGGGUAAAUCAACCCGCUCAACGGGUUGAAUUCUGCGAGCACGGCCAGACUUGGGACCGGGAGAGGUGUGGGGUACUCUCAGGGUAGGGGUAAAAUCCUGUCAUCCUGAGAGGACCACCUGUUGCGAAGGCGCCACACUAGAACGGAUCCGACGGUCAGGGACGAAACCUAGGGGCACGAACCGGAUUAGAUACCCGGGUAGUCCUAGGUGUAAACGCUGUGGACUUGAUGUUGGGGGCGCUCCGAGCGCUUUCAGUGUCGAAGCGAAGGUGAUAAGUCCACUGCCUGGGGAGUACGGUCGCAAGGCUGAAACUUAAAGGAAUUGGCGGGGGAGCACUGCAACCUGAGGAUUGUGCGGUUUAAUUGGAGUCAACGCCGG
rnacentral:rRNA from 1 species